AUGAGAGAGAGGGAAAGAUUUAGGAGCCUGAUACAACUUUGAAGCUUCUUUCUUUCUUAACGAAUGGUAGUGUUGGAUUAAGAUUUAAGGCUCACGUUAUAUAGAGAAGGAUAGAGAAGGAAAGGAUUUAGAGAGGCUCAAGAGAGGUAGAGUUUUCUUAGGAUUAUCCAAAUUAUAAUCUAAUUCUAAGAGCUUUUUUCUUAUUUCUUAUGAUUUUCUUCUAUGGAUUUCUUGUUGUUUUUAGGGAAGG
rnacentral:lncRNA from 1 species